rnacentral:rRNA from 1 species
GUAGCAUAAUAAUUUGUCUUUUAAUUGAGGGCUGGAAUGAAAGGUUUUAUGGGGAAUAGCUGUUUUAAAAUAAAAAAUUGAAGUUAAGCCCUUCAUAAAAACUUGAAGGGGCGCUCAAGGGACGAGAAGACCCUGUGGAUUUUUAUUUAUUAAAAAAUAAUUUUUAUAAUUUUUUAUUUUUUAUGUAAAUUUGGUUGGGACGACAUCAAAGUUAACUUUGUUUUAAGUAUAAUUUAGACCCUUUUUAAGGAAGAAAGAAUAAAUUACCCCAGGGAUAACAGCGUAAUACUUUUGGACAGGACAAAUGGAUAAAAGUGUUUGCGACCUCGAUGUUGAAUUAAAAUACCUUUAUUAAGCAUAAAUAAUA